AUUGAACGCUGGCGGCAUGCUUUACACAUGCAAGUCGAACGGUAACAGGUUAAGCUGACGAGUGGCGAACGGGUGAGUAAUGCAUCGGAACGUGCCCGGACGUGGGGGAUGACGCAGCGAAAGCUGCGCUAAUACCGCAGACGAACAUAGGAUGAAAGCGGGGGACCGCAAGGCGUCGCGCGAUCGGAGCGGCCGAUGUCAGAGUAGGUAGUUGGUGGGGUAAAGGCUCAACAAGCCGACGAGCUGUAGCUGGUCUGAGAGGACGACCAGCCACACUGGGACUGAGACACGGCCCAGACUCCUACGGGAGGCAGCAGUGGGGAAUUUUGGACAAUGGGCGAAAGCCUGAUCCAGCAAUGCCGCGUGCAGGAAGAAGGCCUUCGGGUUGUAAACUGCUUUUGUACGGAGCGAAAAGGUCUCCUCUAAUACAGGGGGCUCAUGACGGUACCGUAAGAAUAAGCACCGGCUAACUACGUGCCAGCCGCCGCCGUAA
rnacentral:rRNA from 1 species